rnacentral:tRNA from 1 species
GGAGGAGUGGCCGAGUGGUUGAAGGCACAGCUCUCGAAAAGCUGCAGACCCGAAAGGGUCUCGUGAGUUCGAAUCUCACCUCCUCCGCCA